AAAGUAUUGCAAGCGAACGCAAAGUUUCUCAGGGGAAUGCGUCGAAAUAUAUUUUCUAAAUAUAAAAUUUCAUUUAAUCACCAUGUCCCCUUAGGGGCUCCGUAUGUUUCCCAGUCAUUAAGUGAAAUUUCUACACAGAUGUGUCACUGAUGAUGAUGAUGAUGAUGAUGAUAUACAGCACGAGCGCAUGCGCACAAGACAAUGCAGUAAGAAAUGGAGUCUGUUGGAGACGACGUUCUCAGCGCAUGCGCCGAUCGGCACGCCUCUGUUUAACCAUGGUUUAAAAUGACUUCCGGGUAAUAAUGUACAGCAAACACAGAGCUAAUCUCUGUAAUACAGCGCAUUGUUGAUGUUCCUGGACGGAUCACUGAUGGGGCGGUCUGGGUGGACUAUCGCGUCUGUUCUAAACCCGGAGAAGUUCUAGUAUUCGGCAGGUAAAUCCUCCUGUAGUGCUGUAGACCGUCAGUGGUUGAUCCUGAUCACACAGUGGGCUCGGAAAGGGGAAACGGUUUUAAUCUGUGGCCAGGAAUAAUAAAACCACUACUGUUUUACGGCUAUAUAAACUGCUGCGAGCGACCUUAGACCCGUCUCCGCCCUCUGGACUCCGGAGUGGAGGAUUAUGAGGUGUUUUUCUCGAGUCUGCUGAAGGAUUUGUGAAACAUUUCUGAACAUAAGCUGAAAACACAUUGUCCUAUAAGAAUCUGUGCAAACUGCGAAAUAUGAUUUUGCGCAAUUCGAUAAGGUCAGGAAUGACUCAGCCUUACACGGUUUAACAUCCCAACUCAUUUAAGUACAGAACACCUGACCUCUACUUUAACUAUCAAGGUCAUUCUCUACUGCAGCUGGAGUCAGAAAAGUGAAACCCGGAUAGUUAUGUCUGUGGAUUAUUACUACCAGACCCUUCUCUCCAUGACACUCUCUUAUCCUGGAAGUUUGCGAGUGACAAUAAGCUGUUCCUCCAACACCGUACUGCGUAAAACGGUUUAGGGAACAAAAAUGUUCGAACAAGCAGUUUGGACAAUCAUUAAAAUCGAACUGUGGGCAAAUCAGACAAUCUAUAACUAAAACUAUACUGGAUUAUCAAACCGCUACUUUAUUCAUUCACUUGCCCUUGGACUGGGCUAAGACCCAUACGUCUGUAAUCUCUCCCGUGGGACUUCACGCUCUAAGGCAACAGAUAGGCCGUGUAGCAGAAAGGCACUGCAGAUGCCUGUUAUUUCAAAGCUCUGUCUUAGUGAUCUGUUGUGACGAGUGAGAAGCCCCAAGGUGAGUCGAGAAAGGAUUCUCCACACUUUCAAACACACCAUCUCUACAUUAUGAGUAAGUUUUAUGUUUGUUCUACAUUUCUUUUUUUAUGGUGCUUGCAUGUACAUUACCCUAUAAUAGUUUUUUCCAUGAAACAGAAUAUGAGACAGAAUAAUUUCUGUUUUCUGCAUACACACCAGGCCUCUGUGUGUGUGUGUGUGUGUGUGUGUGUGUGUCUCUCUUAGUUGACCUUCUGCCUGCAUGCAGACGUACUCCACCUACGCUCUGAGGCCUGCCGCACUAAUCAAAUACAUGUAUUGUUAUCCCCCAGCGCCUUGUUUAUCUGUGUGUUGUAUCUUAGGUGCACAUCCGUUCUUACAGUCCACCAGCCCAGUGAAUUCUGAAUAAAAUGACAUAUUACUCAUA